rnacentral:tRNA from 1 species
GGGGUUGUAGCCUAGUGGUUUGAGCGUCGGACUCUAAACUUGAAGGUCGUGGGUUCGAUUCCCGAUCCCA